GAUCAUGGCUCAGGAUGAAUGCUAGCUACAGGCUUAACACAUGCAAGUCGAGGGGAAACGACAUCGAAAGCUUGCUUUUGAUGGGCGUCGACCGGCGCACGGGUGAGUAACGCGUAUCCAACCUGCCCACCACUUGGGGAUAACCUUGCGAAAGUAAGACUAAUACCCAAUGACAUCCCACGAAGACAUCUGAAUGGGAUUAAAGAUUUAAUCGGUGAUGGAUGGGGAUGCGU
rnacentral:rRNA from 1 species